rnacentral:lncRNA from 1 species
UUUUACAAAAACCUACCCUUUCACAAAAUUAAGCUCAGCCCACACUGGACUUUUGGGCCCAACCCCACAGCCCAAAUCUUUUUUAUCUGUUAAUUCCCUCCACGCUUCAGUCUAGCUGCCGAGCAAAGCCCAGUAACCCAUUAACCUGUUAGCCCAACAUGAUCAUCCAAUACCCAUGACCCAUUUAUAAAUACAAAUUACAACCCAUCCCCCAUUCUGCCUUCAAUUGAAAUUAUUCAAUCAAUUCGAAUUUCAUUUUUCAACCUCGCCCGUCCACAGCCUACUCCGUCACAAACAGCACCAUGUUCUUGCCAAUGCUUUGCUCGAGCAAGAGACACUCACGGGAAGUCAGAUCAAACGCACUACUUGCCGAGGUAAACUCUCAGCAAACACAGCAACAGCAGCAGCAGCACAUACUUGCAACACAAAGUAAUUCAGAAUCCAAUGCCAUUUCGCCCUCAACGCCUAAUCGAGCGGCGGCGGUAGCAGCAGCUGCUGCAGCCAAAUCAAAAGGAAUUGCUGCAGUAGGAUCUUAGGGAAAAUAUGGUAAUGGUGGUAUGCAGUUGAGGAAAAGGACAUCCCAC